rnacentral:ncRNA from 1 species
GAUAGGACCCUGUCGCUAGAGUGAUUGGACACUGACACAGAGUCAACUAACCUUGUGCGCGCGGUUCUUCGGGUGAACCGCGGCGGUCCGAGCCACGAGGGGGGAGGCUCGGACCGCCGCUG